CAGUCUGUGUUGGCUGAUGUUUGUGGUGGACAGCCAGAAUAAGAAGGCAGCAGAGGAAGAUUGUUAAGGAAGAUGAAAGAAGACCCCCAGAGAAAGGCAGAGUGGGUUGAUGGCCACUUGAGGGCAUGAUGCUGGACUGCAUGGGCUACUGGCUUGAUUCAGCAGGCUCACAUGUUCUUAUGGUGGCUUAGAGUGCAGAGUUGAGGGGAGAAACUGACCCCAGUGCUAAGAAGUGAGAGGCAGUUUGGAACGCUGGUCUCUAGUGUCUGGUAGGGGAGUCAGAGGAAGAUUCCACAACAGUGCAGCAAAAACAGACCUUCAGUAGGCAAUGAAGACCACAAAAAAAGUCCAGCACCUGUAUCCAAGAACCCAUAUCUAAGUGCCUCUAAAUAAGUGAGACUGAAAAGAACAAGGCCAGAGGCUGGAGAAUCUAAAAGCUAUAGAAGGAAACAAAUUAGUUCGCUUGCUGGAAGGAGAAGCUCACAUCCUGAGCAGAACUGAGGAGCUGCCAGCGCCUGUCAUAAUGAAACAUAUCAAUGCCUUCUGGAGGAUUAUGCCACCGACAUCUUUUUCAACGAGGCUUUUGAAAGACUUUUGAAUAGCCAGAGAGGAGACAGAUUGUUAUUGCCCUCUUGUUCCCCUUUGCCUUGCUAAUGUUAAUGACCCCAGACUUUGCAUUUCUCCUCCCCUCUGCAACUCCCCCCUGCUGAAUAAUUGAGAAUGCAUAUACCAAGAAAUCAUGAAGAUGUAAGAUAGCCAGCACAUUAAUGAUGCCGCACAAUCCAACAACUGGGCUGAAUCCGUAUGUUCAGAAACAGAUAAGGGAAACUUGAUAGGCUUCUCCACUCCCAGACUGCCUCCAAUCAGCACUGGAUUUAGGGCAAUGUAGGUGGUUCCUCUGCACAGAGUGCCGAACCGAGGGGCCUCCCAAAUUGAGAAGACCCAUAGUUGAGAAGAUCCAUUUUGGGGUAGCAGAAGGCGCCAUAUUGCAAAAGAUUACCUAAGUCCAGGCCUGCUCCAAUUUCUAAGGUCUUCCCAGUGUGAUUGGGCCUUAUCAUCUAAAACAGGGUUAGCCAAUGAUGUGCCCUCCGGAUAGGAUUGGACUACAAGUCCCAUCAGCCUCAGUCUGCAGGGCUGAUGGAAGUUGUAAUCCAGCAACAUCUGGAGGGCACCAAUUGGCUACCGUUGCUAAAGAACACUUAUUUCUGAAGUGAGUUCUGGGAUUCACUGAACUUUUCUAGAAACUAAUAGUGGACUCACCUCAAUAAUGGAGGAAAAGCUUCACUGAAGGGCAGGUUGUCUACCUCUAUGGACCUUCUCUGUGAGGAAGGGACACUAGUAACUGUAAAGUACAAAAGCAGUUUGCACAAAGCAAUGAUGAGGGCCGCUAAGUCUGGCUAGUCUGAACAAAUUGAGAGGGAGCCCUAGAACACUCAUUAGCUUCCUUUACAGCUUUGUAGGGGGAUUGUUGACAGACCAAUAAAUAUAGAAAUGGUUUAAAUGACUGUGGCUGACCUUUAAUUCCAUUUAAUAUACUGUGAUCCACAUUUGAAUGGGUAUUCCUGUUGAUUUCAUGAGAUGUCCAAUGGCCUUUUGAAAUGCGUUGGGGAGGAGGGGGUGAUUGUUGUGGUUGUUUUUAUUACGUAUUUUGUGUUUUUAUAUUGUGAUUUUAUGUUGUAAGUGCCCUGAGACCUACGGGUAUAUGACGGUAUACAAAUUUAAUAAAAC